rnacentral:tRNA from 1 species
GGGGAUUUAGCUCAGUGGUAGAGCGCUUGCCUGGGAAGCGCAAGGCAAGGCCCUGGGUUCGGUCCCCAGCUCCG